GCAAACUUGGUCAUUUAGAGGAAGUAAAAGUCGUAACAAGGUUUCCGUAGGUGAACCUGCGGAAGGAUCAUUAUUGAGUAUCAGGGAUAGCCAUUUGGCUGUCCCGCUCACUCUUCUCUUCUCUGUUAUUUUUUCAUAGUUGCUUUGGCAGUCGCCUGUCAAGGGACCAUAAACUACUUUGUGUUUGCAAACAGUUGCAGUUGUCAUGUCUGAAGUUGAUACUUAAUUGGAACUAAAACUUUUAACAAUGGAUCUCUUGGUUCUGGCAUCGAUGAAGAACGCAGC
rnacentral:misc_RNA from 1 species